GAUGAACGCUGGCGGCGUGCAUAACACAUUCAAGUCGAACGGACAAGGGGACUUCGGUCCCUGCGUUAGUGGCGGACGGGUGAGUAACGCGUGAGCAACCUGCCCUUGUGUGUGGAAUAACGUUUGGAAACGAACGCUAAUACCGCAUAAAGCAUAGAGGUCGCAUGGUCUUUAUGCCAAAGAUUUAUUGCACAAGGAUGGGCUCGCGUCCGAUUAGAUAGUUGGUGAGGUAACGGCCCACCAAGUCGACGAUCGGUAGCCGGACUGAGAGGUUGAACGGCCACAUUGGAACUGAGAAACGGUCCAGACUCCUACGGGAGGCAGCAGUGGGGAAUAUUGGGCAAUGGGCGAAAGCCUGACCCAGCGACGCCGCGUGAAGGAAGACGGUCUUCGGAUUGUAAACUUCUUUUAUAAGGGACGAAGCAUGACGGUACCUUAUGAAUAAGCCACGGCUAACUACGUGCCAGCAGCCGCAGUAACAC
rnacentral:rRNA from 1 species